CUUCUGGGCAGCUGAGAUCAAUCUGAGGUCUCAGGGAGCAGGAGUUUAAAGGAAAGUUAAAUAUUUCAUGCAAUUACUGGAGAGAAAUUAUCAUAAUUUACUACAGAAAAACACAAUCUGAUUAUUUUUUAAAAUCCUCCCUCCGAGAUAAUGGGUAGCCUGUGCCUGAGGACCAGAGGGUCUAAACCAAACGCCAGGGGAAAAAAAGCAAUAUUUAG